rnacentral:rRNA from 1 species
UACGUAGGUGGCAAGCGUUGUCCGGAUUUACUGGGCGUAAAGAGCGCGCAGGCGGUCGUUCAAGUCGCGUGUGAAAGCCCCCGGCUCAACUGGGGAGGGUCACGCGAUACUGAUCGACUCGAAGGCAGGAGAGGGAAGUGGAAUUCCCGGUGUAGUGGUGAAAUGCGUAGAUAUCGGGAGGAACACCAGUGGCGAAGGCGGCUUUCUGGACAGUAACUGACGCUGAGGCGCGAAAGCUAGGGGAGCAAACGGG